AAAAACAAAAAAAAACACUAAAAACAAACUACAGCCUCCACCUCCCUCAAUAGUGAGUACAGAGUUAUCACUCCUCUCUCUGAAAUUAGAUUUAUAAUAUUUUAGUGACCUAGCCUAACCUUAACAUUUUACAGAUGAGUAAACACAUCUAGCACUUUUACCUGAUUUGUCCAAAGUUGCUCUUAUACAAUUUGUAUUCUGUGCAACUGAGAUGGGAUUUAUCUGCUAUUUUAUGUGGCCUUUUUAUGAAGGCCUUUUCAUGUUUCUCCUUCAGGUCGGAACUAAACCUCAGAGUUCUUCAAAACCCCAAUUACCUUUAUUGUCUUACAUAAGCUAGCUGCCCAAAUGUUUGCUGAGAAUAGUGAUAACCAUUGUCAUAUUGAGGUAGAGGAAGGGGGCUGGUUGGUGGGUACUGGUUUAGGGGUACUUUUUUAAGGAAGCAUGAGCACAUUUUGGAUAUGCAAAAUAUUAUUAAGUUUAGAGCUUAGAUUUGGAAAAACAACACUUAAGCGUCUGUGUAAGGAGAGCUCUGAGAAAAGGGUUUUCAGACAGAACCCAAAUUUCUCAAGAAGAACCCUCUAAACAGCAUUAAGGAAAAAAAUUCCUCUGUAGAAGCAACUAAGAAAAAAAGGAAUACUCAGUAUUUGGGAAAGAGAAAGGAAUGAAUGAUAACAACACCAGAUUGAGUAAGCUACACAAUAAAUCCAAAUUUCAGCCCUACCACAUCCAACCUAUGUUGCCUUGAGCAAAUUAUUAAACUUUUCUGUGCCUCAAUUUUCUCAUGUCUGCCUACUUAAGGACUGCGUGGGAAGAUUAAAUAAAAUGCAUGUAAAGCACUUAGGUCAGUACCUUACUCUUAAGGCACUCUUAAGGGUUUGAGAAGGAAGGGAGGGACGUUAAGUGGAAUGGUCCUUGGUACAUUUUUGUUCCGCGGCAGUAGGAUUCUGAAACAGAGGACAUAAUUACAAAGAAAGUUGGAGUAAGAAGUGGUGGUGCGGGCAUCACAUUUUCCUGCCACAGCCCCGGCUGGAACGGUCACUUACUGGAAACUGCAGAGAAACAACCUGUUUGGUCCGACUUGACAACCUCAACCGGACCGAAGGUGCUGAACAACCAGUGCGGCGAGCGCCGCGAAACCCAACG